CUUAAAUCGAUGAUGCUUAUUUCAUGAAAACCCAUUUCGAAAAAUCUAUUGACACCUAUUCUAGUCUCAAUCUAAUUUUCACAGACUUCCAUCUAAGCUACCUCUACUUGGCAAGCUUGGAGUCAUUUGACACCACCAUUGAACUUGAUAAUCCUUUGAAGGGUCCCUGUUAUGCCAAUCACAAUAUCCAAUUGGUGGACUCUUGUAAUGGGUUGUUAUGCAAUAUUGUUGGAACCUUGCUUUGCUGACCCCAUUAAUCAGAAAGGUCCCCCUUUUACCCUUUUUGCCCUUUAAGUUCCAGCACAAGGGAAAAUCUACUUGGGGUGCUUGGGCUUUGGGAUUUGGGUGUGACCCUAUUAGUGAUGAUUGCAAUGAGGUGAGGCUUGGCUAGUAUCUUUACUUGUCUGAUAGGUUUUUUGACACACAAACUAGCAAUCUUAAAGCAAACACAUGGAG
rnacentral:misc_RNA from 1 species